GUACGCUCAGCCGGCUCGUCCUCGAUGGCAUGGCACUCACGUCAGCCGAGUCUUAGGUGGUGCAAUGUCCUCGCCACGCAGGAGGCCAUCACCGCAGGCACACCACACGUAGGGUCAGACUGCGGAUUACUUUUUCAGCACUGGCGCAAACCAUUUCUGUGCGAUUCCGAGCUUUACGAUUUGUUUUUUGAGUUCAAACUGACUGUCGUUUUGUGUGUGACCAUUUUCGUUAACUGACCAUCGAACACUGAUUUUAUGCUCGUAAGGGUCAAACUGUGUGUCGUUUUCCGUCUCGGGUCAAUAUCAAUCAUUUCUAUCAGCUUAGCACGUGCCUCGUCACCCAAAUAUCAACGAAGGCCAUUUUUAUGAACUUCCGGACUGGCUGGUUAUGGUCUGUAAGCUCGGACUGUUGACUCUCUUGCUAGUGUUGAUGCGGAACACUGCCAUCAACUUCCCAAUGGGCUCUCAAGGCUCAGACAUCCCAUCGUUUCCAAGUGCCAAAAGGGAUGAUUUCCUCUCACUUCCGCCUUGGUUAGUAAAUGCAUAAGGUUCAGUCUUGCUUCACGUGUCAGAGCAAGCCAUUUCAACUACAUAGGACCUUCUUUCUUCAGUGUUCUGGGUCAUGGGUUUCUUUUUCCUGUAAUUUGCAAAGGUUCACAGUCUUGCUUCAUGUAUCAGAGCAAGCCAUUUUAACUCAAUAUAUGACCUUUCUUGAGUGUUCUAGGUCCAGGGUUUCUCUUUCCUAUAAUUUGCAAAGGUUCACAGUCUUGCUUCACGUGUCAGAGCAAGCCAUUUUAACUCAAUAUAUGACCUUUCUUGAGUGCUCUGGGUCAUGGGUGUCUUUUCCUUUAAUUUGCUUCGUCACGUAAAGUCACUCCUCACAGAAGCUUCCUCAGUGGAGAGCUAUAGCCAGUCACUUUAAGUCCUUGCUAAGUGCCGUCUCGUUCCUUCUAUAGCCUUGUAACACUCAUCUGGAAAUGGUAAAGGUAUGCUCGACACUUUGCACCAACCACUGUUACCCGCAUCAGGAAAAAUGUCAUCUCUUGACUGAUAAGAUAAAUGAAUGUACGAGACAAUAGAGAGAUAGAUGAACGAGCUUUCGACUAACAACAAGGAGUUUUAACACCUCUAUGGAUUUUCCCGAUACGAGUUUGGUUCGGAAAGGUGCGUUGGUAGUGUGGGAGUGACCAACACACCCCGACAUAGCAAAGUGGAUACAGAUGAAAUGAUAUAGACAAAUCAACAAGCUUCUAACUAACAGUGACUAGUUUUAACACAUGUCAGAGUAGUUGCAUUUUUUCCUGAUACGAGAUUGUUUGAAAUGUGUAGGAAGUUGCUGACACGCCCAAACAAAUAUAUGAGUGAGCUUCUAAAUAAAAAUUACUAGUUUAAACACCUCUAGUAACAUUUUCCUGAUACGAGUUGGUUUUGGUAAAGUGCGUUGGUAGUUACGAACACACCCUUACAGAUAUAUGAAUGAGCUUUUAACAAUUACUAACUACACCUCAUUGAGUAGACAUAUUUUCCUGAUACGAGUUGGUUUGGUAAAGUGCGUUGGUAGUUACGAACACACCCUUACAGAUAUAUGAAUGAGCUUUUAACAAUUACAAGUUUUAACACCUCAUAGAGUAGACAUAUUUUCCUGAUACGAGUUGGUUUGGUAAAGUGCGUUGGUAGAGGCGAACGCACCCAACAGAGUAAGCUAAAUACCAUACGUCUAUGCCUAUACAGUGCCUUCCUUAUGCUAUGUCCACCCUUCACAGACCCUCCAGCACUCUUGUUUGCCCUGUACCAUGCGUCUAAGGUACGCUGGUAGUUGCAAACAUACCCCAACAUGUGCCUGCCCUGUACACCGCCUUCCUUAAUCUACGUGAGCCUUUACAGACCCUCACUUACUCCUGCCUUGCUUGUGGUGGCAGUGCAGGGCAACACACACACACACACAGACACGUAAACAGGAACCCGAGACUACAGGAACUUACCAUCCAGAUAGCAAAAAUAAGUUUCCGUUUUACGCUGAACGAAAAUAAAUUCUGAAAUCGCACGAAAUGAAGAGAAAAAUGCCCAUUAAAAAGAGUUCCAAAUAUUCAUUUUUUAGUGUUUGGUUAAUUGAUGCAUGAGAUAAAGUCAAUUUAGGUCACAAAACUACCAAAGAAACUAUUGAUACCCCCCAAAAUUCUGCAUAAAAAAAAAAUAAAAAAAGAUAGCUCGUCUAACCCCAUAUGGACAUAACAUUACAGGACAUCAAACAGAGGAAAAAAAAAAAAGGAAAAAAAUAGAUAUGAGAAAACCCACUAGGCGGUAAAUUCUGCGCAUGGUGAGGAAAGACAGAACACACGAGAGUAUAUUUCAACAAGGCACAGAGGUCAGGUCAAGGUCACAGUAUAGGCACAAUCCCACACUGGCCCCUUGACCACAACAUUACACUACAAGAAACUACCUUCAAAAUACCUCACUGUAGAUUCACUAGCAAAAACACACACUACAUGGUCAUUGAAAAAUAUACAUGGUUGUUUUCUCUGCGGUAAGGAAGUCGGGGGUUGAUGGUAUAUCGAUAGUCUCUCGUCCACACACACAUAUGAAAAUACUCAUGUCAGACACAACGGGACUCCAGCGAAUGUCUACUCUAGGGGCUUAGGAAUUACGAGUUUUAAAAAUGUUCUUCUACGAGUUUCAAGCGUAAAAUUAAGAAAAUAUGUUGUACACUUCCAUGAAACUACAAAUAUUAACUAGCUUUGUUGAUUUCUAAGCAAAUAUGAGCAUUGAAAAAAUUCUUCUAGGAGUUUCAGGCGUAAAAUAAAGAAAAAUAAUUGUACACUUCCGAGAAAAUACAAAUGUUAACUGUCUUUGUCAAUCUCUAAGCAAAUAUGAGCAUUGAAAAAAUUCUUCUAGGAGUUUAAGGGAAAAAAUAUUGUACACUUCCGAGAAAAUACAAAUACUAACUGUCUUUGUCGAUCUCUAAGCAAAUAUGAGCAUUGAAAAAAUUCUUCUAGGAGUUUAAGAGAAAAAAUAUUGUACAGUUCCAGGAAAUUACAAAUACUAACCUACUAUUUCAGUUUCUAGGCAUAUACGAGCAUUAAUAAUAUUCUUCUAUGCAUUUCAGGGUAAGCUAAAGAAAACUAAUUGUACACUUCCACAAAACUACAAAUACUAACUUACUAUUUCGUAGCUUUAAAAAUAUUCCGAGUCAUGUCUAGAAACGGUUUUGGUGAUGACUGGAAUGCUGUAGCUAGCAGACACAACACCCUGUCUGUCUGUCUCGAACUUGAACUGGAUGGUUAAGUGAUUGCGAGAUGAGAAUGAGGGACAGCCCGUGAUCCAUGCAGACACAAAAGGCAGGACAUACAGAGCGCACAGCAACCACCUCCGUCAUGUAACACUGCUGGCACGACCCUUUGCUUCCAUGGGUGUUUGGGCGUCCACACACAGGUACACAUAACCCAGUAAAUUUAAACAUAUCGACCCCUCGGUUUCCCUCCUUGAAAAGCCUCUCGUGGAAGUUGCAGGGACUUACAUGGACUGUUUUGUGAUACCAGUGAUAGUUUUACACGACUUGAAUGGGAAAAACACCCAUGAAAACCCAGUUAAUCCUCUCCGUGGCCGUGGAUGGUAGUCGUAAUGAGGGCUGUAGACAUUUAGGGUCGUAUUUUAAAACAUUUCGCCUCUCAAGUUUGCAUAUUUAACAAGGCUUUCGUAGGAGUUGUGGGCAUUUCCAGGAGUAGGUUUAAGACCCUGGUGGUAGUCUGACCCUUCUCCUGUACCGUGAACCUAAAGAAACACUCAUUAUAACACAAUUGGUCCCAUCUCUGGCCUUGAGAAAUAGGUAUUGUGGGAAGCGAAGGUGCCUUGAAAUACCACCCUUGAAAAUUUGGACCAUGGACAGAGGUGGGGUGCAAGGUAAGCUUUGAGAAUAGGUCUGCCUGUAUGAUAGUGUCUAAAUACAAGGAGUCGCUAGGCUAACAUUCUACUAUGCUCAAGUUCAGGUUUAAACUCCGGUAAGCCUAAGAGAUACUGCAUUGCCUAAAUGAGUAACUAUUGCAUACUUUACAAUCCCAGAACAUGCAAUACUCAAGCCUUGUUAUCAGGAAGUGUUGCCGAGGUUAAGUCUUUUUUGUGUUAGAUGGGUCAACUUUUCCAAGCCCCGGGUGUGUUCAUGUGCAUUGUUCCGCUACGUACUCACACCCGAGGAACGAGGUGCUGCGGAGAAAUGAGCAGAGCCGGGAAAUAUUACGUUUGGUUGAAAUAACGAAGGAUAUUCAUAAUUUUGACUUGAAUUUUGAGCCUUGACGCAACUUUCUGGAGUGGCGUUUUUCCUCAUGUGAGUACAACAGUUCGUAUGGUUGAAAUAACAAAGGAUAUUCAUGAUUUUGACUUGAAUUUUGAGCCUUGACGCAACUUUCUGGAGUGGCGUUUUUCCUCAUGUGAGUACAACAGUUCGUAUGGUUGAAAUAACAAAGAAUAUUCAUAAUUUUGACUUGAAUUUUGAGCCUUGACACAACUUUCUGGAGUGGCGUUUUUCCUCAUGUGAGUACAACAGUUCUUAUGGUUGAAAUAACAAAGAAUAUUCAUAAUUUUGACUUGAAUUUUGAGCCUUGACGCAACUUUCUGGAGUGGCGUUUUUCCUCAUGUGAGUACAACAGUUCGUAUGGUUGAAAUAACAAAGAAUAUUCAUAAUUUUGACUUGAAUUUUGAGCCUUGACGCAACUUUCUGGAGUGGCGUGUUUCCUCAUGUGAGUACAACAGUUCGUAUGGUUGAAAUAACAAAGAAUAUUCAUAAUUUUGACUUGAAUUUUGAGCCUUGACGCAGCUUUCUGGAGUGGCGUCUCUCCUCAUGCGAGUACAACAGUUCGCUCCACUAGAAUUCCUCGGCCAAUUAUUGUCAUUAUUAUUAUUUUUACAGCAAGGAAGGCAGGUCAAGCCGGGAAAUAUUACGUAUGGUUGAAAAAACAAAGAAUAUUCAUGAUUUUGAAGCAACUUUCUGGAGUGGUCUUUCCUCAUGCGAAUACAACAGUUUGCUCCACUAGAAUUCCUCAGCCACAUAUUAUAAUUACUACAAUUUUUACAGCAAGGAAGGAAGUUCAACACAAACAAAAAAUGGCGACAAGAAAAAGUUAGGUCAAUUUCCCCUCUCGAAAGUAUCCCUCCACUCAAUUCUCCGAGCUUCCGUUCCCCGAUCUGUGAGUACCGGAUGAAACAAUGCAGAGGCUAGUGAACACCCGCUGGGCCAUGGCUAUGACCACCCGACACACUGCAUACAUGGUACAAGAUUACAAGUGGUGGGACUCAGAAACCUCUCAGGGGAAGGAAGAAAGGAAGGAAGGGAGGAGAUGAUACACUGGGGUUUUGGAGGAUAGUGUGUGGCUGCAUGUGUGUAUCAGUGUGAGUGAUGUUUAUAAGUGUCACAGAAGAUGCAAAAAAAACAACAACAAUGCAGAUUUUAUCCAAGAAUGUUAAUAUCAAUACCAAGUUCAAAGGAGUCAGAGAAAAUAUGCUUCUUCAAUCCUACUUUUAAGGGGAAACAAACGUAUUUAGCGACCAAGCAAUAGAAUAGUGGAUAUUAAUCUUUAGAAAUUCACUCAGGAACAUUAAUAGCAAUACCAAAUUCAAAGGAGUCAGAGAAAAUAAGAUCCUUUAAUCCUAUUUUUAAGGGGAAACAAACGUAUUUAGUGAUCAAGCAAUAGAAUAGUGGAUAUUAAUCUUUAGAAAUUCACUCAGGAACAUUAAUAGCAAUACCAAAUUCAAAGGAGUCAGAGAAAAUGUGCUUCUUCAAUCCUACUUUUAAGGGGAAACAAACGUAUUUAGCAACCAAGCAAAAAGAGAAUGGACAUAAAUCUUUAGAAAUUCACUCAGGAACAUUAAUAGCAAUACCAAGUUCAAAGGAGUCAGAGAAAAUGUGCUUCUUCCAUCCUACUUUUAAGGGGAAACAAAUGUAUUUAGUGGCCAAGCAAAAGGAAAAUGGAUAUAAAUCUUUAGAAAUUCACCAAAGAACGCAGACACAGUACAAGUUUGAGGGCAUUUGAAAAGGAAGCUUAUUCAGUAAUAUUUCAACAGACAAAGGAAUUUAUAAGGAGUUUCCAUGAUGGGAAGGGAGUUGGAACACAUGGUUACUCUUACUGACAGAGUGUAAGAACAGUUUGACAAAGCAUUAGGAGGGGAGAGAAUCUGAUCAGUGCGGGUCAGUAGAAGGAGUUUGAAUGCAUAUAAGUAAGGAAUCUAAUGAGUGUGGAACAGGGAAGGGAGUUUGAAUACAUAUAAAACUCUCGAAGGCAGAAUUUGAGACCAUUUUGGUAAAGCAUUAGGAAGGGAAUUUAAACAGACUGGUCAGGGAAAGGGAUUUGAAUGUCAGGGAAGGGGAUUUGAAUAUCAGGGAAGGGGAUUUGAAUACACAUAACAGAACUUUUAGCGGCAGAGAAAUUCCGAAAGACGAUUUUGGCAAAGCAUAUAAAAAAGAGGCAGGGAAUCUAAUCAAAGUAGGUCAGGUCAGGUCAGGCUACAAAAGUGAGGAAGGAGGAGGAGGAGGAGGAGGAGAUAAAAUAAAGUAUCAUUGAGCCCAGCAUUGAAUUAAAUAGUAGUAGUAGUAGUAGUAGAAGUAGUAGUAGUAGUAGUAACAACAGGCAGGAAAUCUAAUUAAAGUAAGGUCAGGUCAGGUUACAGUAGUGAGGAAGGAGGAGGAGGAGGAUAAAAUAGUGUCAUUGAGCCCAGCACUGAAUUAAGUAGUAGUAAUAGUAGUAGUAGUAGUAACAGCAGCAUCCAUCACCACCACCACGCCACAAACACCUCCUCGGCACACGGACACAACAGGUUCCGGCAUACAUAUUUUUCAUGCCUUGGUCUUUCGGUGCUAAUUUUACGUUUCUGAGUCUGGUGUCUGAGGUCUAUGAGGUUUGACAAUCUGAAUAUAUCCUCUCUCUGUGUCUACAAGGGAUCACUCUGUUAUUUAUCCUGCAAGGGCCAUCUUAUAAGCCUCCAAUUGCCAGAGUCCAGGAAUGAGUGGCCAUGAACUCUUUCUUGCAUUCCUCUAUUAUAUCCUUUGUCAGACCUAGUGAGUGAGACAACAGAGGAUGGUAUUACUCCACCUUACACUCCCCAAUGGCUGUGUGUGUGUGUGAUGAUAAAUGCUCAACAUAUGUGUGUGAAGUUUGAACAUACUUAAAGCAUCUUAUUCCUCAUACUGAUAAUAGAUCCAUGCCUCAUACAGUGGUUGGUUUGUUAGAGUAGUUAUUAGAGUAUUUCAUUAGCACAGACAAGGAUUUAAUGUAGAGUUAGUGACUUCAAACAAACAUGGCCGCCACAGACAAGCUACUGGCGGCCGCAGGACAAGACACGCUACUGACACGCACACACACACGGACAUACACACACACGCACAGACAAAUUACACAGCUUCCGCAUUCCGUGACUGUUCAUGACUGGCGAUGGAGACUAAUGGUAAGUGUCAUUCCUCAUUGCUAGAGUAUAUCUGUAAGUGCAUGCCCAGUGCCCACACACACGCACACACACACACAAACAUUUUUGAUACUAGGAUUUCAAUGUAACUUUCAAUGUGUGUGUGUAUUUAUCUAGUUGUAAUUUUAGAGGGCCUGGGCUUUACGCUCAUGUGGUCCUGUCUCUGUAUCUACAUUUAUCCAACUUUUCCUUAAAGCUUUGCACACUCUUCGCCGAUACUACAUCCUCACUUAGUCCGUUCCAUGUGUGUGUGUGUGUGUGUGUGUGUGUGUGUGUGUGUGUGUGUGUGUGUCAAGCUAACACCGUCCCU